GCUGCAUGUAACUGAUGGCUCCAUUCCAAAAACAAACAGCUUUGUUGCAAGGAGGGAAGAAGCUCUCAAGGAUAAGUUGACUUCUGGAGGUUCCCUCACCCUUCAUAUCUGAGCAUCGGAACAAGUAGGCUCUCACCGUGAUGGGUAAAGGGGACAGAGAGCCUGAAUCCCUCAAGUCCCCUCCCCCAGCUGGAGCUAAGAAGUACCCAAGCCCAGAAGCUGCAAUGCAGACAUCUGGUACAUAAACACCUCAUCUUCCUGCCUCUCCUUGGCAUCCCUACUGCCUACGUGCCAUCUGGUGGUGGUUGGAGGCUACUGAAUGUUACUGGAGAAAGUUUUGCAUAACCUGUGUCCAUCUGUGCCAUGUAUGUACUCUUCUUAUAUGAUUAUUUACCUUUUGGCCCACAAUGAUGAUGAUUCAUCUUGAAAGAGAGCCUGAGGACCUGUCCUUUUCCCUUCCCAGGAAAGUCAGGGAUCUUACACUUGACAUAUAUUGAGUUUUGUUUUGUUUUAUUUUGGAGGCAAUUGGGGAUAAGUG